rnacentral:rRNA from 1 species
UACGUAGGGUGCAAGCGUUUGUCCGGAAUUAUUGGGCGUAAAGAGCUCGUAGGCGGUCUGUCGCGUCUGCUGUGAAAACUCAGGGCUUAACCCUGAGCUUGCAGUGGGUACGGGCAGACUAGAGUGCGGUAGGGGAGACUGGAAUUCCUGGUGUAGCGGUGAAAUGCGCAGAUAUCAGGAGGAACACCGGUGGGCGAAGGCGGGGUCUCUGGGCCGUAACUGACGCUGGAGGAGCGAAAGCGUGGGGAGCGAACAGG